AAAGCAGGACUGAGGGAGACACAAACCAGCAGGACUCGGAACGGUUAAAUGUGACAGGUGAAAAGAAGAGAUGAUGACCUAAACAUGCAUGACUUCACAACAUCAUGGAGUCUUUACAGUUGCUCCAAAUCCCUGGAUUCAAGCCACCAUGGCCUAGUCUCCUCCAGCAGCCAGAGUGGAAAAUAGGCCUUACUUCAGAGGACCGGCUUGCAGUAUAGGACCUGGAUGAUUUAGCAGGGGACCAUGAGCCAGUGCUGAACAGAGGGAGCUGGCCUUCCUAGGGAGGCAUAAAACUGAUGUCCUGGCCUCCUAUGGUUGCGAAAGCUCCCUAACAGCACAAGUCGGCCCAGGAAAGGUCUCAGGUGACUUGAGUUGGACGUGAGUUUGCUGCUCACUUCCAGGCCUCCGCUGUUUUGGAAUGUUGCUAUGCAUUAUUAAACAGCUGCCUCAUCUCAGCCAAGAGGUGGUUGCGUUUCAA